CUAGAAUCUGUCUUUUCUGCAGAGACCCUCUGUCUGGCGGUGUAUUCGUCCGCCAUCUUCCUCCGCCCUCUGUUUUUAUCUAACUUUUAAAGGACAGUUUUACCAGAGAUGGUGUUCUUGGCUGGUAGUUGUCAUUUUUUUCAGGACUUGGAAUAUAUUACACUGUACCAGUCUAGCCUGCAAUGUUUUCUUGCUAAAAAAUCAGUUGAUCAUCCUAUAAGAGUACUUUGUGCCUAAAGGAAUGCUUGUCCAUGCCAAGCCACAGCUAUCUUGUUGAUUUAAAUAUUCUGUUUGUAACUUUUAAAUCUUUGAUAAUGAUAUGUCUUGUGUGGGGUCUCUUCUUAUUGUUCCUACAGUAGGUGGAGCUUAUUUAAGUUUUAUGAUAUUUUCUGCCUCAACUUUAGAAAGUUCUUAGACAUUAUUUUUUCAGGUAAGCUCCCUGCUAAUUUUUUCUCUCUUAUCAUUACACAGCUCUCAUUAUGAAUAUUUUAACAUGCUUGAGAGUAAGAAGUCCCUUAGGCUCUCUUAAUAUUUUUUCUAUUUCCUCUCUUGAGUAUAAUUUCAAAUGGCCUAUUAUCAAGAAGAUGUGUUUUUUCUGCUACAUCAAGUCUAUCAUUGACCUUAUCUAGUAAAUCUUAAAAUUCAGUCGUUUUGUUUUUCAGUUGCAUACCGGCUGUUUGUGGAAUUUUUUCAUUUUAAUCUCUGUAAAUAAUAUCAUUUUCUUUAUGUAUUAUUUUCCUGCCUUUAUUUAGUUGUCUGUGAUCUCAUUGAGCUGAUAGAUUAUAUUUAAGACAGACAUUUUGAAUGCUUUUAAAAUUACCUCAUAGAACUUAACUUCUUUAGGGCUACUUGAAUAUUUAUUUUUGUGCUUUAUUGGAGUAUAUUUUUGUUUCUUUGAUUUCUUUUCAUUUUUAAUGAGAUUUGGGUAAUUUUGAUAAAAGGCUACCUACUCCAUCCUUUAAAGAAUGGCUUUGUUCAGGGGCAAUUUAGCACCAUCCAGCCACACUAGACAUUUUAGUCACUUCUUGAAACUGUUGACAGGAUGUGUCAUCUCUGGAGGACCUGUAUGUUUUCUCACUAAGAAGGUUUGCCUAUUUCUUGUUAAAAACCUUUAAUCUAUACCUUCCGUGAUGAAUUCCAUGUAUUCUCUGGUCUCUCUGUUGCUGUAAUAAUUAUUGUUCUUUAUUCUCACUGGCUUGGGUAUGCCAAUUACACUGUAUCUGCAUUUCUUUUCAGCACUAUAUAUUAAAGGAAGCAAUAGUACCAGAGAAACUCAAGACUUUGGAUACAGGAUUGGAUUAAGUGUUCAGUCAAACAUUUCUGAAGACCAGAGAUUUAAAAUUGAAAAAGAUACUUCUGAAUGGGAUCCAUUUGAUGAGUUCUUUAUUAAUACUUUAAUAGUCUGCAACCCCAAAAUAACAAUACCAUCUUAUACCAAAAUCUACAAUGUUUAUCAGUAUGGACUUUACUACAAAUAAUUACCAGGAUAUUUAUGUUGAUGACAGAAAUUAUCAAUGCAAUAAAACUGAAAAAGCCUUGGACCCAGUCUCAUGCUAUAGAAAAUAUCAGAAAGCUCAAUAUUCAGAGAUCCAGCACAAAUGUAAAAAAUGUGAAAAAUGUGAAAAAGUUCAUCAUUCAUGUUUAAAACUUACUAGCCAUGAGGAUUUCCACAUUCAAGAGUAUUUCUACAAGUGUAAUGAAUAUGUAAAAACUUUUGCCGAGUCCAAGAAACAUUCUCAAAAUCAGGGCAUUCAUACUGGAGAAAACUCUUCCAAGCGAAUUAAAUGUGAUAAAGUACCUUAGUCAGUCACCCAAUCUAAGAAAACAUAACAUAAUCCACACUGAAGAACACCUCUAGAAACAUAAGGAAUGUGGCAAACCUUGUAACCAGAGUUCACAGCUUAAACGGCAGAAAAUCUAUACGGAGAAGAAAUCCUACAAUUGUAAAGAAUGUGGCAAAGCCUUUUACUGUAAUUCAAAUCUUAGUUCAUUCACAUCAGGAAAUUUACAUUGUAAGAAAACCCUAUAAAUGUGAAGAAUGUGGUAAAGAGUUUCAGCAUAGUUCAAGGCUUAUUCUACAUCAAAGUAUUCAUACUGGGGAAAAAAUCCUACAAAUGUGAUGAAUGUGGCAAAGCCCUUAGCUGUUGUUCACAUCUUAGCCAACAUCAGAAAAUUCAUACUGCAGAGAAACCCUACAAAUGUCAUGAAUGUGGCAUAGCCUUUACCCAGUGCUCAAUAUCAGGGACUUCAUACUAGGUAGAAAUCCUAUAAACAUGAAGAAUGUGACAAAAUCUUUUACUGUAGUUCACACCUUACAACAUCAGAAAAUUCAUACUACAGAACUCCUGUAAAUGUAAUAUAUGUGAAAAGAGUUCUGUCCCAAAUGUAUAACUUAGAAAUCACAAGCGAGUUCACAGGGAAAGAAACUUUACAGGUGCAAUAAAUGUGCAGAAGUAUUUAACCAAAAAUUAAGUCUAAGUCAGGGCAUUCACACAAGUAAAAACUAACGCACACUUUCAGAUUUUACAUUAUCCCAGAGUAUUAAUUGUAGAGAAUAAUGACAUCAAAGCAAUUAGAAAAUUUCUCUGAUCAUAUUUUUCAGAACAGAAACAACAUUGAUAUUUGGACAGGCAUACUUAUAUUCCAUGGGUACUUUGCUUUGAUAGUAUUUGAAAUUUUUCAAAAGAAAAUAUUAAUGUAAUUGAAUUCUUAAAUUAUUUGAUGAUAUGCUUUCAUCUGUAAUGUUUAUAUGAAAAUACGUGAAAUGUUGUUUCUGCAUCAGCAGUAUGGGAGUCCAUUCAAUCUUAGGUGAAUAUGAUUAACAUCAAUUUUUCCAUGAAAAUUUUAUGGCAAAUGUGAAAUGCAUUAAGAAAAUUUAAAGAUGUUUUUUGUGUUUGGAUCAAAAAACAAUGCUGCAUGUAAGUAUACUAUCUUUAAUCAGAGCAUUUUUCUUGUGUAUUAAAGUAAGAAAAACAUUCUAAAUCUGAAAGAUGAAUUAUUUUAUCAAUUGAUCCUUAAGUAGAGAAAAAUUGGCCAGUUACUUAAAAUACGGAUGUAUCUUAACAGUGGAACGAAAUAGAAACCUUGACUAUUGUUUGAUGUGAUAGAGAACAUAGAAGUCGUGAAUGCUAUUUGAUGUCUUCCCAGGGAAUAGCCAGAAUCCAUAACUGUUUGAUGCCCUGAUAACAAGUCUGCCAACAUUCGAACCCACUGCAGACCCGGGAACAGUCAUAUGACUUGGUUCUGACCUCACUGCAAUCUUAAACUCAACAGCCCUGUACUGAAUAGAAAAAGCAUAUCAUGGUGGUACAAAUGCUUAGGUUACAUGUGUUGCCUUCCCCUCCCCCAACCCCGAUGUCAGAGCUUCAAGCCUAUCCAUCCCCAGAUGGACAUCAUACUCAUGUAUGUAUAUACCCAUCCCCUCCUCCCCUUCCUAUAUGCCCAAUGACUAAUAUAUGUUAUUCCUAUAUGUCCACUUAGGAGGACAUUCACUUUUGAUUUAAGGACAAACAGGCUAAAAGUGAAAGAAUGGGAAAGGAUGUUCCAUGUAAAUUAUAACAAAAAGAAAGUACAGGGGUGAUUAUAAUUAUAUUGGACAAAAUAAGCUUCCAGGCAAAAUCUGCCACAAAAGUAAAAAACGUUUACUAUAUAAUAACAAAGAGGUUAAUUUAUCAAGAGGAUACACAAUUAAAUGUAAAUAUGCACGCAACAUUAAAACCUCUAAAUAUAUAGAUAUUAACAGAAUGGUAAAGAGAAAUAGACAAAAAUACAAUAAUAAAAGGGGGUUUCACUAGCCUACUUAAAACAAUGGGUAGAUCAUUCAGACAGAACACUAAUACAAGAAGAGUGUCCUUAUAAAACACAAUAGACCAAAAUGACCUAACAGACAUACAUAUAAUAGUCUAUGCAACAUUACCAGAAUAUAUAUUCUUCCCAAGAACACAUGACAUAGUCUCUAAAUAGAGCAUAUGUUGGACCAAAAAAAUCUUCUUGAAUUACAGAAGAUUAAAAGUAUAUUAAGUUUUUCUUUCUGAACACAAAGACAUAAAACUGAAAAUCAAUAGCAGAAGGAAAAUUGGAAAACUCAAAAAUAUGUGGAUAGUAAAAACCAUGACCCCGAAUAAUCAGUAGGUCAAAUAAGAAAUCUAAAGGGAAGACAAAAAGUAUUUUGAGACAAAGGAAAUUAGAAGAACCACCAAUGAACACUUCUAGGAUACAGCAAAAACAUUACUAGGACAAAUUUAUAAAUGACAACCUUUGACCUUAAGAGAAAACCAAAGUUCUUAAAUAAAAUCUAUCUUUAAUCGCCAACGAACUUAAACAGGAAGAAUAAAAUACCAAUGUUAGCAUAAUGAGGGAAAUAAUAAAGAUUACAACAAGAAAUUUAAAGGCUAGAAAGACAAUUGAAAAGAUCAAAGUAACUACUAGUUGAGUUUUUAAAAGAAAACAGAAUUGAAAAACUUUUGACUAGAUUAACCAAGGAAAAACAAGAGGAGUGAAGAAAAAAAUGAAAGAGAAGGGAGGUGGGCACUGGGCACCAGGAGAGGGUCACCACCACCGCAGCCAAGCCUGUGGUGGGCGGCGAGGAGGGAUCGACGCCAAGAGCCACAUCUAGGCUGGCGCAGCACGCCAUGGCCAGGCUUAUGACCUCCGGCCUUGGCAGGUGGCCAACAGCUAGCUUUCAUGUGUUCCUUUUAUACAAGUAAAGUCCCCAAUUACAAUUCUCUGCUGAGAUUUUUAAUAUAUAUAGAAGAAAUCUGCCGAGCAUGGUGGCACAUGCCUGUAGUCCCAGCUACUCGGGAGGC